UACGUAGGUGGCAAGCGUUGUCCGGAUUUAUUGGGUUUAAAGGGUGCGUAGGCGGCUUCUUAAGUCAGUGCUGAAAUACUCUAGCUUAACUAGAGGGGUGGCAUUGAUACUGAGGAGCUUGAGUAGAGUCGAGGUAGGCGGAAUUGACGGUGUAGCGGUGAAAUGCUUAGAUAUCGUCAAGAACACCGAUAGUGUAGACAGCUUACUAGGCUUCAACUGACGCUGAGGCACGAAAGUGUGGGGAUCAAACAGG
rnacentral:rRNA from 1 species